UUUCAAAAGAACUCCCUGUUUAUUGUGGCACUAUUAGGGAAAAAAGUCAGAAAAGUUUGGCUGGGAUCACAGAGGUAAGUUAUCCCCUGAGAUUCCUUGAAUUCCAAAAGGAGCAAAACCUCUCAAGAAUUGAUCUCCUCCAAGAUGAGAACAACUUUUCAUUAAGGUACCGGGACUGAAUUCCCCAACUUCUUCAAGCCUGUCUCCAACUGCGACCUGUUCCUUAAGCUCUCGAUCAUGUUCCUGCUGUUU